GUGGGGAAUAUUGGACAAUGGGCGAAAGCCUGAUCCAGCCAUGCCGCGUGUGUGAAGAAGGUCUUCGGAUUGUAAAGCACUUUAAGUUGGGAGGAAGGGCAGUAAGUUAAUACCUUGCUGUUUUGACGUUACCGACAGAAUAAGCACCGGCUAACUUCGUGCCAGCAGCCGCGGUAAUACGAAGGGUGCAAGCGUUAAUCGGAAUUACUGGGCGUAAAGCGCGCGUAGGUGGUUUUGUAAGUUGGAGGUGAAAUCUCCGGGCUCAACCUGGGAACUGCCUCCAAAACUGCAUGACUAGAGUACGGUAGAGGGUAGUGGAAUUUCCUGUGUAGCGGUGAAAUGCGUAGAUAUAGGAAGGAACACCAGUGUCGAAGGCGACUACCUGGACUGAUACUGACACUGAGGUGCGAAAGCGUGGGGAGCAAACAGGAUUAGAAACCCGGGUAGUCC
rnacentral:rRNA from 1 species